GCGUAGGCGGUACUGUUAGCGAGCCUGCGGUGCGCAGCCCUCCCGCUGCCGCCGCCCCGGGCAGCCCGCGCCGGGCAGUCGCGACCGAGCGGCGAGUCGCAAUUGGCGUCUGUGGCUUAGGCGAGAGCAGAGCGUAUCGCGUGUGCAGACUACUAGAAUGCAAAAUUCUUCUCUCGAUGUAGAUGAUUUGCUCAAAAGAUUAACUUGGUCUUUCUGAGGAAAACAAAUGCAUCAGCACAUCUAUUCUCAAAGGUUCAAAGCAGCAGUGGCAAAUGAACCAAAGUAAGAGGUUGCCAUCUCCACAGUGAUAUUGCAUCUAAACCCUGGCUACCAAAUCAAGCUUGCUGGUAUAGUGCUGAAUUUUGCCUCUGGUGAGCGUGAUCAGCCUGAGAGAAGUGGAAUCUUUUGGGAAAGGUGGGGAGCUCUCUGU
rnacentral:lncRNA from 1 species